UGGGGAAUUUUGGACAAUGGGGGAAACCCUGAUCCAGCCAUCCCGCGUGUGCGAUGAAGGCCUUCGGGUUGUAAAGCACUUUUGGCAGGAAAGAAACGUCGCGGGUUAAUACCCCGCGGAACUGACGGUACCUGCAGAAUAAGCACCGGCUAACUACGUGCCAGCAGCCGCGGUAAUACGUAGGGUGCAAGCGUUAAUCGGAAUUACUGGGCGUAAAGCGUGCGCAGGCGGUUCGGAAAGAAAGAUGUGAAAUCCCAGAGCUUAACUUUGGAACUGCAUUUUUAACUACCGGGCUAGAGUGUGUCAGAGGGAGGUGGAAUUCCGCGUGUAGCAGUGAAAUGCGUAGAUAUGCGGAGGAACACCGAUGGCGAAGGCAGCCUCCUGGGAUAACACUGACGCUCAUGCACGAAAGCGUGGGGAGCAAACAGGAUUAGAUACCCUGGUAGUCCACGCCCUAAACGAUGUCAACUAGCUGUUGGGGUCUUCGGACCUUGGUAGCGCAGCUAACGCGUGAAGUUGACCGCCUGGGGAGUACGGUCGCAAGAUUAAAACUCAAAGGAAUUGGACUGGGGUCG
rnacentral:rRNA from 1 species